rnacentral:tRNA from 1 species
GCGAGGGUUGCCGAGCCUGGUCAAAGGCGCAGGGCUUAGGACCCUGUCUCGCAGGAGUUCGAGCGUUCGAAUCGCUCCCCUCGCA